GAUGAACGCUAGCUACAGGCUUAACACAUGCGAGUCGCGGGGCAGCAUGGGGGUUGCUUGCAAUCCCCGAUGGCGACCGGCGCACGGGUGAGUAACGCGUAUCCAACCUGCCCUUCACCACGGGAUAACCCGGCGAAAGUCGGACUAAUACCGUAUGUUGUCCAUUGACGGCAUCCGAUUUGGACGAAAGGUUUGGCGGUGAAGGAUGGGGAUGCGUCCGAUUAGCUGGACGGCGGGGUGACGGCCCACCGUGGCGACGAUCGGUAGGGGUUCUGAGAGGAAGGUCCCCCACACUGGAACUGAGACACGGUCCAGACUCCUACGGGAGGCAGCAGUGAGGAAUAUUGGUCAAUGGGCGUAAGCCUGAACCAGCCAAGUAGCGUGCAGGAUGACGGCCCUAUGGGCUGUAAACUGCUUUUAUGCGGGGAUAAAGUGGCCCACGUGUGGGUUUUUGCAGGUACCGCAUGAAUAAGGACCGGCUAAUUCCGUG
rnacentral:rRNA from 1 species